GGGGCCGGCAGAGAAGAGAAAGAGACGACGGGAAGGUUCCCCACCGGCCCUUCCCCCCGCUUUGAAAAGAAACAAAAGGGUGGGGUCGGCGGGCUUGCGAAGGUCCUUCCGCAGACGCCGGUUUUUCGAUGAGGAAGGGAAAAGGAGGGAUGGAUGGAGCCUUGCUUUUAUGAAAGUGUCGUAAAUACGCCUGUUUUGGCCCCUUGGGUUGUUUGACCUGCGCCGCCGGUGUCAAAGCCCACCUUGGCCUUUGGAAAGGAGACAAAACGAUUGCGGUUACUCCAAAUAUAAGCAAUGGAGCUCUGGGAAAUCUCAUUUGAUCAUAGUACAAGAACUCUUCAGUCCUUAAUUUAAACCAACUCUGUGUAGAAGACCUCCUCUUCAUUGGUUUAUCUUUUCUGUUUAAGCCCACUACCAGAGGUUUAAAAAUAUGUGUAUGUCUGAACUUUCUCUUUCUGAAUUCUUAUGGUAUCUAAAAAUGAAUGAAUCCUUAUGGAGGAAAGCAGAUGGAGAUGUGUGUACUCUUCUUCCCAUGAGAGCAAAUCUGGAAUUCUUGCUCUUUAGAUAAAGCAAAUAAUUAUGUUUUUUUUCAGUUUACCAGUUUGAUAUGAAUGUAGAAAAGAGAAGCAGUACUUGAUAGGAUCUUCAUGUUACUACAGAUUUGUGGUGAAAACUCUAAUCUUGUAGAAAAUUCCCCUUUCAGAUAAUUCCAAAAGGUAUUGAGGUUUUCUCAAAACAAUUAUACCUUCUGUGUGAGUCCAAUAAAAAUUACAUCUCAGCUGUCAGUGUGGAUGAUCAAACUUUUUACAUUCUAUUUUUGUUUAUGCUAGCAGAUCUGCAGUGCUGGAAUGAUGUUUCUUCACAAAACUUCUUUAAAUAGCAUAAGUGGCAUACAAAUAUAAUAGCUACAUCACACACCAACUCUUUGAAUCUGGUUUGGCAGGAAAUAAUGUAAUUAAAAACCAAAUACCUUAUUCAUAUCUUCACCUUGAAAUUAUGUCUUCAGCUUUAAAUUAUUUUGAUGGAAGAAAUAAAUACAAAGAGGUGGUGAUGGUAUCACUGGUGCCACCACCACCACUUUACAGGAUUCCCUUGCUAUUCUAAUGGCACUCAACCCUAAACAGACUGGCCAUCUGUUGCAAGUAUCUUCCCAGUUUUGGUGUGGAUAUUCUGUUGAUUUUUUUUCUUUAUGAUUUUUUUGUCUAUAUAUCUACUUAAUUAAAUAAUCCAUAAUUUGCUGGGCUCACAUAAUAUGUUAUGACACAAAACACUGUUUAUCAGCAUCAGCAGUUAAAUUUAGAUAACAUAUCAAGCCAAGCCAAGUCAUAUAAUUAGAUACCAUGCAUAAAUCAAUCCACUGAUUCAACUAUGUCUUUCACUUCCCUUCUGUUUUUUGGUACCAACUUAGCAUAUACAGACUUGGUUAAUGGAUGAGAAGUAAAGUGUCUUUUCCCCCCCAGUAAUAGUGGAUAAAAAUGUUUCAAGUUCAAGAAUUCUGAGCUCAAAAUGCUCUGUUCCAAUUUGAAACAGCUGUUCGUACUAGAAGCUUCCCAAUGGUGAUGAAACUCAAAAUGCAUUCACAGUGACCGGAAUGGUAUGGGAACAUUUCUAGUAAAGUCAAAACAAUUGAUUUCAAACACAAAACUCUUCAAAUUUCAGAUGUUUUGCCUACCCCUACCUUUUUGUUCCAACUGAAAUAAAUGUUUAGAAAGCCGUUCCUGCUGUGGUUAGCCGUUUCUCUAAACUAUUUUAUAAAAUACUUAAAUAUGUAUAUAUAUAAGGAGCCUAUUUGCUUCAUACCCAUCAGUGUAUCUUCUGUGCAAUCUAUGCUGAAAAGAACCCCCAAUGUUCAAAAAUAAAUCACUGGAUGAU